rnacentral:rRNA from 1 species
UUCCUACGGGACGCAGCAGUGGGGAAUAUUGCACAAUGGGGGGAACCCUGAUGCAGCAAUGCCGCGUGGGUGAAGAAGCACUCCGGUGCGUAAAGCCCUGUCAGCAGGGAAGAAAAUGACAGUACCUGGACAAGAAGCCCCGGCUAACUACGUGCCAGCAGCCGCGGUAAUACGUAUGGUGCAAGCGUUAUCCGGAUUUACUGGGUGUAAAGGGAGCGCAGGCGGUGCGGCAAGUCUGAUGUGAAAGCCCGGGGCUCAACCCCGGGACUGCAUUGGAAACUACCGAACUAGAGUGUCGGAGAGGG